UUUUUUUUAUUUUUUUCCAAUAAGUAAAUCUUUACAGGAUUUCAAUCUUACAAGCAACAACAAUUAAUUUAUGUGUUAUAUUAUGUUUCAAUUUUUCGCGCGAUUUUUGAAUGAAAAAAAUAAGCAUCAUGAGCCAACCAAUCAGAACAUCCCUUAAUUCGAGACGCGGGACGAAUUAGUGCGCAUCGCAAUGCGCAUCGGAGUGCGCAACGCAGUGCGCAUCACACUGCGCAUCACACUGCGCAUGUCGUCAGUCUACAGUUGAAAAUUGUGUGGAGUGGAUGUGUCGUCGCAAAUUCGGAUUACGCAGUUUAAUUGAUAGCGUUAUGGUAAUAUUCUCGAAGGCGGGAAAAAUUCCAAUAUGGACGCCAUGUCUUUCUUGGUGACUUUCUUUCGUGGUAAAAUCUUAUAUUUCGUAUGUAUAAAUUUUUUUUCUUUUUAUUUGGUUAAAUUUUUAUUUAGUUUUAUUGAAUUAUUAGAGAUUGUUGUUAAGCAAUUCGUAAUAAAAUUACGUUUUAAUUAUAAGAAAGUGGAAAAAUUAGAAAUUUAUGAGAAACUUUAAUGAUUUAUUAUUGAAAAUUAAAUUUUAAAAUCUGAUAAAUAUAAAUAUCUGAAUAUUUUAUUAAAUUUCAGAUAUUAAUAAAUAAUUGGUAAUAAUUUUUACGUAAAAUUCAUAAUCAAUUAAAAUAAAAAGGCAGUAUUUUCAGAACAAAUGUUCGAUAAGAAGAAGAAAAAUAUCAAAAAGAUAUUUCUUUCUCUUCUAUCAUUCCCUACCCCUCUACUAAUUAAGCGUUAAUUUCAGAAAAUAUUUGUAACCGCGCGCAAUGCGGUUAAUAGAAUCAGUGUUUGCUUCGUCAUAGUAUUUUGAAUAUUUUUUAGAGCGCAACAGCUCUGAUUAAAUUUAAUUAAAAUAAUCAAACGCGAAGGUAGAAUCAGUGUUUGUUCGCCGAUUAUAAUUUAUACGGACGCGUUAUUAGUUUUUUAUUUUUUAUUUUUUUUUAUUUUAAAUAUUCGUUUUCGGAACAGAGUAGAAUCAGUGCUUCUCUCAAGAGAAUACGGCGAUCAUCCACCACGCGAAGAGAUGCCGAUGAUCUUUAUGAAGAUUUGUUUUUGGACUAAUCUUAAAAAAUAUUUGUGACCGCGCGCAAUGCGGUUAAUCAGAAUCAGUGUUUGCUUCGUCAUAGUAUUUUGAAUAUUUUUUAGAGCGCAACAGCUCUGAUUAAAUUUAAUUAAAAUAAUCAAACGCGAAGGUAGAAUCAGUGUUUGUUCGCCGAUUAUAAUUUAUACGGACGCGUUAUUAGUUUCUUAUUUUUAUUUUUUUUUUAUUUUAAAUAUUCGUUUUCGGUACAGAGUAGAAUCAGUGCUUCUCUCAAGAGAAUACGGCGAUCAUCCAUCACGCGAAGAGAUUUCUUCCGUCUUGAUGACAACCUUCCCUUCUCGAUGACUUCUGGGCUACAAUAAGAGUGAAGCUGUUCGUCGCAUCAUGUGGUGAGUCGCAUGCUUUUUGGUUCCUCCGGUCACUCAAUCAUGUCGUAGGAUGAAAGAUCCGAAUCGACACGAGUGAUUGGUUGUAUACGUAGAAUUUUGCACGAGCACAAUGACCGCGGGUAUUUAUUUAUAAUAAUUACCCGCGAGUAGUAACAAUUAUUUUUGUGUUUUAUUUAUUAGUUCAGGCUAGGGUCUUCUUACGCUUCGCGUUUUUGAUUGAUAUAAAAUGUUUAGUAGUUUUCUAAUGUCAAAACAUGUAAUAAUUAUUAUUAUAUAAUUAUCAAUACAAUAUCAAUACAAUAAUUAGUUUGAAUUUUUAUAAUUCAAAAUCCUUUAGAGUAACAUUUUAAGUUAUUUGAUCAAUUUGAUUAUUGCGAUUGUCAUAUAAUUAUUUCACAUGAUUUUAUUAACUUCAAUAUGAUUUACAACACUGGUAGAUAAUAAAGUUCAAUUUUUAUUCGUACAAAUAUGAAUUAAAAAUUUUGCGCAAGAAGACAUUUCGCGACAGGCAGAUUUUAGAAUCAGAGCAAUAGAUUUUGAAUAUUAUUCUUGUGAUUUUGAAAAUAUGCUCUGAUGAAGGAAUCGCCUGAGAGUAUUUCUAUUCAUGUUUCUAUUAAAUACAAUUACAAUGAAUUCCAAUUUCUUUUUAAGUUCAAUAUUAAAAAUUUUAUAUACUAAAAUUUCAAUAACUUCAAUUAAUGUUCAAUUAAUGAAAUAAAAUAUAAAAUAGAGUCACAAAUAUUUUUGAAAUAUUAUAAUAAGAAUUUGACAUAUAUAAUAUAAUUUAUAUAAUUAUACAAUUUGAAAUAUAUAAUAAUGGAAAGUCAAAGAAUGUUAGCCCGUUAGAUACAAAAUGAAUAUAUUAAUAUCUUUUUAGCUCAGGAUUUUCAGAUUUAACCCUUUCCAUGUUCAUUGUCAGGAUCUCAUUCACGUGCUCAGGUGCUACUUGAGUGAGGGAGAGGCAAUGGAUAUGACGACUUUAGUUGAUAAGCUAAUACAAAUUUUUAGCGACUGAUGAUGCAUAGCGUAUCGUGCACGACGUACUUUCCACAUUGUGUGUGUAUGGUUAGGCUGUGGAAUUGCGUCGUUUCAUUUAUCAUAUAUUAUUUCAUUCCUUAUUCAAUCAGAAUUUACAAUCAUAUUCGCAAUAUUUAAUUGCGAAUAACUAAUAAAUUAAUAAUAUGCAAGAUUAUUAAUUUUUAAUCUAAAAUUACAAUAAUGAUACAAUUUUGAUUCACAAUAAUGAUACCAUUUAGUCUAAUGACUAAUCUUUUAGAAAACAUGACGUAUUCAUAAAUUUUCACAAUUAAAAUGUAAAUACACGCGUUUUUGUCGCGUUUCACGCAAUGGUCGCUAGCCAUCAUCAGUCGAUUUCAGGAAAAUGGUACGUAAAGUUAGAGUGUGCGAGUAGUGUGCCAAGCUCGGGUGUCGGAGGCGUCCCGGGACGCUUUCCUAGUGUAGGCUUUUGCGCCCGAGUGUUAUGCGUGAGAAUCGUGGAAUGAAUGUGUUGGUGUGCCUGUUUUGCCAUUUUUUUAAAUAUAGGGUUAGGUAGGAUAGGUAGUAUACUUCUGGUGUGUCUGUUUAAUCAUAAGUAGGUAGGGCCGGGCAGGUUGUCACAGUCUCUGAUCGGGUAGGCGCGUUUUUCGCGUGACAACCUGUUUCAGGAAAUAAAAUUUGAUAAAUCGAGGGCAAAGCUGAGAUAAAUGGACGAUUAUGCCAUUUGUUUCUGGUUUUUCUCAUCGAUUUUUCGAAUUUCGCGGUCGCGGUCGUGAUUUGCUUUCGAAACGAACGUUGCGCUUGAGAUUCUGUGCAUGUACGGAGAACGAUCACGUUCGUUGGUCGUCCAUGCACUUAGCUUUCGCGACUUAGUCCUUUUUUUUUUCUUUUUUUCUUUGGUUUGCGAUUAGUGAAUCUCGAGCCUAGAUUUAAGUUUCAGCGGGCAUCGCGCCCGAAGGAGGAAGACCGAAGAGGCCCGACAAACUGUCACGAAGAGGGCUGCAACGAAUGAUUUCUCAUCUUUUGGAUCUUGUCUGAGUCCAAAGAAUGGGAAGUCAUUGUUACUACUUUGUCAUUGUGCUCGUUUUAGUAAUACGUAGUAUAUGUUGUUGUAUCGUAUCUGGCCAAUUUGCAUGCUGGCCCAUCGUUCAUCCAAUUAUCAUGGGCAAAUCGCGGUUUUGCAUUAGUGUUGCGAUUGAUAAAUAACGGGUUGAAUUAGAGUUGCGUUAAAAUGAUAAUCGCGUUUACUAUUAGCGUUGCGUUGAAAAGAAUAUCGCGGUUGCUUUUAAUUAUUUUCAUGAAUUAGUCUAUUUUUUUUAUUGUUUUUUUCUUUUAAUAUAAAUUUGAUUUUAUUCUAUAAUAUAAUUAUGAUUUAUGAUAUCACGAUAUUUAAAGUAAUUUUUAAGAUUUACAAAAUAAUAGUAAAUUUUAUAUUAAAUUCAUUUGAAGAAUUAGUGUUGCGUUGAUGAAAGAUCGCGUUUUUUAUAAUAGUGUUGCGUUUAUUUGCCCAAAUUGCCCAUAUUUUUUCCACUUUUGGACUGUGGAAUUACGUUCCAGUUCCUGAAUCACCUAUUACAGCCAAAAAGGCUGUACAAAGGGUGAUUGUACAAUGGCAGUCUCUGAUUAUAAGGCUGCAAUCUUCCGCUAUUAGUGUUGCGUCUAUAAUAAAAUAUGAGUGCAUAAAUUAGUUUAUUAGAGUUUCGUAUAUGUUUUCGCGAAUCUUUUAUCUUUUUUUUAUUUUUCUUUUUUUCUUUUUUGUUAAUGAAGAAAUGCAUUGAAAGUAUAACGAAGCACUCUUCGCGUUUUCUUUUGAGAUUUUUAGCAUAUUAGUGUUGCGAAAUAUAAAAAAAUUCCACUCACGGUUUGUUCGGAUUUACAUCGAGUGGAUAAUUAUUUUGGUAACCCUUCUGGUUACCUUUUCGUCGUUUUUCUCUUUUCAGCAUCCCCCUUAUUAAGAGCAUUUGUUUACUAUUGUAAAAAUGUAUUUUAUUCUUUGCAUCGAUGAAUAUCUUUCAUUUAAAAUCAUGGAUUGCUUAACAACAUUUUGAUAAUUCGAUUUUUUUUUUGAUUUAAUUUUUCUUUUUAUUCCUAGAUGUAAAUUAAAAUUUUUUAAUUACUAAUCCAUAAUAAUUGAGUUUG